rnacentral:rRNA from 1 species
AUUGAACGCUGGCGGCAGGCCUAACACAUGCAAGUCGAGCGGAGCGGCGGACGGGUGAGUAAUGCCUAGGAAUCUGCCUGGUAGUGGGGGAUAACGUCCGGAAACGGGCGCUAAUACCGAAUACUUUCAGCUGAGCCUAGGCCGGAUUAGCUAGUUGGUGGGGUAAAGGCCUACCAAGGCGACGAUCCGUAACUGGUCUGAGAGGAUGAUCAGUCAAACUGGAACUGAGACACGGUCCAGACUCCUACGGGAGGCAGCAGUGGGGAAUAUUGGACAAUGGGCGCAAGCCUGAUCCAGCCAUGCCGCGUGUGUGAAGAAGGUCUUCGGUUUGUAAAGUACUUUAAGUUGGGAGGCGUUACCAACAGAAGAAGCACCGGCUAACUUCGUGCCAGCAGCCGCGGUAAUAC